UCAAGCUACUAAGGGCAUGCGGUGAAUGCCUUGGCACUUAAAGGCGAUGAAGGACGUGAAAAGCUGCGAUAAGCAACGGUGAGGAGCACAUAUCCAUUGACCCGUUGAUUUCCGAAUGGGGGAACCCUAUAUACUACUGCCUGAAUUCAUAGGGCAGAAAGAGCUAACUCAGGGAAGUGAACCAUCUCAGUACCUGAAGGAAGAGAAAAUAAUAAUGAUUCUGGGAGUAGCGGCGAGCGAAACCGGACCAGCCUAAACCAGUUGGGCUUGCUCAACUGGGGUCGUGGGACCAGAUACAACGGAUCGAGAAGAUUAACGGAAAGGUGUGGAAAAGCCUACCAUAGGGCGUGAUAGUCGCGUACGUGAAAAUUUUCAAAAUCUAUUCUGGCACCCGAGUAAUGCGGGACACGAGGAAUCUUGCAUGAAUUUGCCGGGACCAUCCGGUAAGGCUAAAUACUCUUAAGUGACCGAUAGUGAACCAGUACCGUGAGGGAAAGGUGAAAAGAACCCCGGUGAGGGGAGUGAAAUAGUACCUGAAACCGCAUGCUUACAAGCAGUCGGAGGUCGCAAGACUGACGGCGUGCCUUUUGCAUAAUGAGCCGGCUAGUAAAUGUCACAGGCAAGGUUAAGGGAUAACCAAGCCGAAGCGAAAGCGAGUCUUAAUAGGGCGUUUAGUCUGUGGUAUUUGGACGUGAAACGGGAUGAUCUAGGCAUGGGCAGGAUGAAGCGUGGGUAACACCACGUGGAGGUCCGAACCAGUUAAGGUUGAAAACUUUUUGGAUGACCUGUGCCUGGGGGUGAAAGGCUAAUCAAAUUCCGUGAUAGCUCGUUCUCGCCGAAAUAUCUUUAGGGAUAGCCUCGGAUUUAUCAUUGUGGUGGUAGAGCACUGACUGGACUAGGGGCCUCACAAGGUUACCGAAUUCAAUCAAACUCCGAAUGCCAUAAAUGUAAUGUCCGGGAGUCAGACUACGGGUGCUAAGAUUCGUGGUCGAGAGGGAAACAACCCAGAUCAACAGCUAAGGUCCCAAAGUAAUAGUUAAGUGGAAAAGGAAGUGGGGAAGCACUGACAGCCAGGAGGUUUGCUUAGAAGCAGCAAUCCUUUAAAGAAAGCGUAAUAGCUCACUGGUCAAGUAGCCCUGCACCGACAAUAUAACGGGGCUUAAACUAUUCACCGAAGCUUUGAAUGUAUUUAUACAUGGUAGGCGAGCACUCUGUAUCUGUGAAGCGGAACCGUAAGGACCGUUGGAGAAAUCAGAGAAGACUUUGUCGGCAUUAGUAGCGAUAACGUAUGUGAGAACCAUACGCACCGAAAACCUAAGGUUUCCUGCGUCAAGUUAAUCUGCGCAGGGUUAGUCUGUACCUAAGGCGAGGCCGAGAGGCGUAGUCGAUGGAGAUCCGGUUAAUAUUCCGGAACCAUGGGUAUGUGAUGUGGGUUGACGCAUCAGGGUAGUCAAGACAGCCGAUGGAUGUGCUGUUGAAGUAAAUAGGCCGUAGCUUAGGAAAAUCCGGGCUACACAAGGCUAAAUACGCGGACGAAAGUACGGAGCUUCGGCUCCGGAACAAGUUGAUGACCCCAGAUGCCGAGAAAAUUCCCGUUCAUCUAUACAUACUCCACUGGCAGUACCGCAAACCGACACAGGUAGGUGGGAUGAGAAUUCUAAGGUGCUUGUGAGAACCCUCGUUCAGGAACUCGGCAAAAUGUAUCCGUAACUUCGGGAGAAGGAUAGCCGUGUUCACCAAGAACACGGUCGCAGAGAAAUGUUUCAGGCGACUGUUUAACAAAAACACAGGUCUCCGCAAAGUUGUAAAGACAACGUAUGGGGGCUGACGCCUGCCCAAUGCUGGAAGGUUAAGAGGAGUGGUUAGCCGCAAGGCGAAGCUGCGAAUCGAAGCCCCAGUGAAUGGCGGCCGUAACUAUAACGGUCCUAAGGUAGCGAAAUUCCUUGUCGGGUAAGUUCCG
rnacentral:rRNA from 1 species